rnacentral:rRNA from 1 species
CAGUCGCCACGGUAAUACGUAGGGUGCAAGCGUUAAUCGGAAUUACUGGGCGUAAAGCGUGCGCAGGCGGUUAUAUAAGUCAGAUGUGAAAUCCCCGGGCUCAACCUGGGAACUGCAUUUGAGACUGUAUGGCUAGAGUGUGUCAGAGGGGGGUAGAAUUCCACGUGUAGCAGUGAAAUGCGUAGAUAUGUGGAGGAAUACCGAUGGCGAAGGCAGCCCCCUGGGAUAACACUGACGCUCAUGCACGAAAGCGUGGGGAGCAAACAGGAUUAGAUACCCGAGUAGUCCCUGUCUCUUAUAC